CGGCCAUCUUGGAUGGUUGGCCGGAUCACCGGACACAUUUUUUAAACUAGAUACCCCAAUGAUGAUUGUGGCCAAGUUUGGUUUAAUUUGGCCCAGUAGUUUCAGAGGAGAAGAUUUUUGUAAAAGUUAACGACGACGACGGACGACGCCGGACGCCGGACGCCAAGUGAUGAGAAAAGCUGACUUGGCCUUUUAGGCCAGGUGAGCUAAAAAU
rnacentral:lncRNA from 1 species